AUUGAACGCUGGCGGCAUGCCUUACACAUGCAAGUCGAACGGUAACGCGGGGCAACCUGGCGACGAGUGGCGAACGGGUGAGUAAUGCAUCGGAACGUGCCUGGUAGUGGGGGAUAACUGCUCGAAAGAGCAGCUAAUACCGCAUACGACCUGAGGGUGAAAGGGGGGGAUCGCAAGACCUCUCGCUAUCAGAGCGGCCGAUGUCGGAUUAGCUAGUUGGUGGGGUAAAGGCCCACCAAGGCGACGAUCCGUAGCUGGUCUGAGAGGACGACCAGCCACAAUGGGACUGAGACACGGCCCAGACUCCUACGGGAGGCAGCAGUGGGGAAUUUUGGCCAAUGGACGAGAGUCUGAUCCAGCCUUGCCGCGUGCGGGAAGAAGGCCUUCGGGUUGUAAACCGCUCUUGUCAGGGAAGAAAUCCUCUGGGUUAAUACCUCGGGGGGAUGACGGUACCUGAAGAAUAAGCACCGGCUAACUACGUGCCAGCCGCCGCCGUAACAC
rnacentral:rRNA from 1 species